GAUGAACGCUGGCGGCGUGCUUAACACAUGCAAGUCGAGCGAAGCGCUUUUGCGGAUUUCUUCGGAUUGAAGCAACUGUGACUGAGCGGCGGACGGGUGAGUAACGCGUGGGUAACCUACCUCAUACAGGGGGAUAACAGUUGGAAACGGCUGCUAAUACCGCAUAAGCGCACAGUACCGCAUGGUACCGUGUGAAAAACUCCGGUGGUAUGAGAUGGACCCGCGUCUGAUUAGCUAGUUGGUGGGGUAACGGCCUACCAAGGCGACGAUCAGUAGCCGACCUGAGAGGGUGACCGGCCACAUUGGGACUGAGACACGGCCCAAACUCCUACGGGAGGCAGCAGUGGGGAAUAUUGCACAAUGGGGGAAACCCUGAUGCAGCGACGCCGCGUGAGCGAUGAAGUAUUUCGGUAUGUAAAGCUCUAUCAGCAGGGAAGAAAAUGACGGU
rnacentral:rRNA from 1 species